rnacentral:misc_RNA from 1 species
AACAUCGCGCACCUGCGGGAACCUGCGGAGGGAUCAUUAACGAGUUUGAAAACGGAAGUCUGUUGCUGGUGCGGAAACGCACAUUGUGCACGACUUCUGUGCUCAAUCCAUUUCAACCCCUCUGUGCACCUUAUCGAAGCGGACUAGUUCUCUCUCUUUCUUUUGCUGGUUGUAUGCGCAAUAGAUUACGAGUAGUGAGUAAGGCGAACGCGGUUUUUCCGCUACUAGUUUGAAAUCGAA